UACGGAGGGUGCAAGCAUUAAUCGGAUUUAUUGGGCGUAAAGGGCGCGUAGGCGGAUGUGUAAGUCAGAUGUGAAAUCCCGGGGCUCAACCUCGGAACAGCAUAUGAAACUGCACACCUAGAGGGUAGGCGGAGAAAACGGAAUUCCACAAGUAGCGGUGAAAUGCGUAGAUAUGUGGAAGAACACCGGUGGCGAAGGCGGUUUUCUAGCUUAAACCUGACGCUGAGGCGCGAAAGCAAGGGGAUCAAACAGG
rnacentral:rRNA from 1 species